rnacentral:rRNA from 1 species
UACGGGGGGGGCAAGCGUUGUUCGGAAUUACUGGGCGUAAAGGGCUCGUAGGUGGCCAACUAAGUCAGACGUGAAAUCCCUCGGCUUAACCGGGGAACUGCGUCUGAUACUGGAUGGCUUGAGUUCGGGAGAGGGAUGCGGAAUUCCAGGUGUAGCGGUGAAAUGCGUAGAUAUCUGGAGGAACACCGGUGGCGAAGGCGGCAUCCUGGACCGACACUGACGCUGAGGAGACGAAAGCCGGGGGAGCCAAAGCGGG